AAAUUAGUUUAUAAAAACAUUAAAUUGCAAAUUUAAAAUUAUUUUUGAAAUCAAUUAAUGAUG
rnacentral:tRNA from 1 species